rnacentral:rRNA from 1 species
GACGAACGCUGGCGGCGUGCUUAACACAUGCAAGUCGAACGGAAAGGCCCUGCUUUUGUGGGGUGCUCGAGUGGCGAACGGGUGAGUAACACGUGAGUAACCUGCCCUUGACUUUGGGAUAACUUCAGGCAACUGGGGCUAAUACCGGAUAGGAGCUCCUGCUUCAUGGUGGGGGUUGGAAAGUUUCGGCGGUUGGGGAUGGACUCGCGUCUUAUCAGCUGGUUGGUGGGGUAGUGGCUUACCAAGGCUUUGACGGGUAGCCGGCCUGAGAGGGUGACCGGCCACAUUGGGACUGAGAUACGGCCCAGACUCCUACGGGAGGCAGCAGUGGGGAAUAUUGCACAAUGGGCGGAAGCCUGAUGCAGCAACGCCGCGUGCGGGAUGACGGCCUUCGGGUUGUAAACCGCUUUCGCCUGUGACGAAGCGUGAGUGACGGUAAUGGGUAAAGAAGCACCGGCUAACUACGUG